ensembl:lncRNA
GGGCACACAUAGAGGAAAGACCACCUGAGGACACAGGAGCUGGUGGGCGUCUGCAUGCUAGGGAGAGAGGCCUCAGGAGAAACCAACCCUGUGGACACCUUGAUGUCAGACCUCCAGCCUCCAGAACCAUGAGAGAGAAAUUUCCAUUGUUUACAAGCUCCCCGGUUGAUGUAUUUUGUAGGGCAGCUCUAGAAAAGUAACACAUUACCCAAAGACAGGUGUUGGCCCUCAUUUUUGCUUUUGGGAGAGUGAUUCUCACGAUUUAGGCAGACAGAGAAGUUUCCUUUUAAACCUAGUGCCUGGAACAGAGUAAGUGCACAGAAAGUGGUAAUUGUCAGUUUUGUUAUUGUCUCCCUGCUGCUAUCGUUUCUGUUGCCGCUGGUUGUCACACUGUUGCUGUUGUGUUCAUUGUUGAGAGGACGGGUGGCUCAGACCCUCUAUGGCCCCAGAAGGUUCAGAGACCCUCAAGAAAAAGGCAAAAGUAACUAUUUGUUCUCCACACACAGAUUUUUUUAAACUUAGAAUUCCAUUGAUAAAAUUGAAGAUGAUUUGGUUGAAUUCAAAGUCGAGGCUGAAAAUAAUUAAAAUGGGAAAGCAUUAAAAAAAUGGUGAAGGCAAGAUUGAAAUUGUGGGAAAAGGUGAGAAAGAAAGCCGAUAAAGCCAAUAGUAAUGGAGCAAAUAAGGAAUAAAAUCACUUUAGGAAGAUUAGCCCUGAGCUAACAUCUACUGCCAAUCCUCCUCCUCUUGCUGAGGAAGACCAGCCCUGAGCUCACAUCCGUGCCCAUCUACCUCCACUUCACAUGUGGGACACCUACCACAGCAUGGCCCGCCAAGCUGUGCCAUGUCCACACCCGGGAUCCGAACCAGUGAACCCUGGGCCACCGAAGCGGAACUGUGCGCACUUAACUGCUGCGCCACCAGGCCAGCCCCAGAAGAUUUCAUUUGAUCCUGCUUUUCUGGAGCAAUGCCACCAACUUCAUUUGUAAUGUGCUGCCUUUGUCUUUGGGUGGAAAAUGGUGGAAGAACAGAGGAGCAGGUGUCCUUUAUAUGCACAUAACCUCAUAAACUUCAAUUGAUUCGUUGCCACCUGUUAUCAAACGACACCUGCAUAACAGACUGCAGAUAACAAAAGAGGCAUUCAGGGGCAGACAACUACGGUUAUGCAAUUGAAAGUCAAGGUUGCAUCUUUGAGUCCACCUAGAUAGUUGUGGGCAUUUCCUUUUUUUUCCUCAAUAGUAAAUACAUUCAUAUGGUUCAUAAAUUUAAAAAUAUGAAAUGGUUUACAGUGAAAACUUUUUUGGGUCCCUUGACUGUGCAGUUUUCAUCUCCCAGCCCUUACCGGUCACUAAUUAGUUUGAUCAGUUUCAGGACUAUUCUUCCAGAAUUUCUUCAGGCAAAUACAAGUGUCUACGACCUCAUGUAUGUUUAAGCUGGGGAUCAUUUAAAGAACAACAUACCUAGUGGGAAUGAUCUUCUGCCGUUUUUCCUUUUUUGAUGUAAGAAAAAAAUAUUAUAGUGAACCUUUGCAUGAUUUUAAUUUUCUAGCAAUAGUAGAGAUAGCCUGGCCUACUAACCAGUGCUGGGCUAGGCGUCAAUAGAUGUGCAAUUAAUUUAAAAUAUAACUCUGAACUCUCGUUCUUUGUGCUUCAGCUGAGAAGGAGAAUAUGCACCCGUGAGUGUGAAGGUAAAAUGGGGACAUGCAAGUGUCAGUGCUCUGAAAAGUGUAGGCUCGCAGGCAAAAAGAAGGCAUGAAUGAUGCCCUUCAUGAGGACCAGGGCAUCUUCCAACUUUCCUUUGAUGAUAAAUGAACAGCCUUAAAUUGUGGCUUGAAACGAUUACACUAGAUUUGCAAAGCAAGACACUGCUAUCAGCUAUAAUCUUUAAAAUGAACUCAUCAACUCAACGUUUUUUUAUUGCUUGCAAAUGUCACUAUCGUUAGCCAAAGUUUAUUAAAGCUCGGUAAUGUGCUUUCUACCAUGCAGGGGGUGAUGACUGAGUUGGGAGAGAUCCCUGGACAUCUAGAAUGUCUAAAGAGGCAGCUGGUCACCAGCCACAGAGGAGGUCUAUGAGAAAUUGCUAAGGAAGCGAUGGAGGUCUGCCCUUUUUCUCUCAAUAUGCCUGAGGACUCUAGUUUAACUGACAGGAUUUCACAGCUUUGCCUUACACAAAUCAAUAUUAAUUUAUAGGUUACAUUUUAAAAGCCUUGUCCGAGUUUUUGAUCAAUCUAGUCUAUGAAAAGCAUUUGCCUUAUUUGUUUUAUUAUGUAUCUAUCUUUAUCAUAUAUAAUACAUAUAUUAUGUUAUACAUAUAUAUUUUCUGAACAUUUAAAACUAAAUUGCAGACAUCAGGCCCUUUAAUCCUA